rnacentral:rRNA from 1 species
GACGAACGCUGGCGGCGUGCCUAAUACAUGCCAGUAGAACGCACAGUUUAUACCGUAGCUUGCUACACCAUAGACUGUGAGUUGCGAACGGGUGAGUAACGCGUAGGUAACCUGCCUGGUAGCGGGGGAUAACUAUUGGAAACGAUAGCUAAUACCGCAUAAUAUUGAUUAUUGCAUGAUAAUUGAUUGAAAGAUGCUAUUGCAUCACUACCAGAUGGACCUGCGUUGUAUUAGCUAGUAGGUGAGGUAACGGCUCACCUAGGCGACGAUACAUAGCCGACCUGAGAGGGUGAUCGGCCACACUGGGACUGAGACACGGCCCAGACUCCUACGGGAGGCAGCAGUAGGGAAUCUUCGGCAAUGGACGAAAGUCUGACCGAGCAACGCCGCGUGAGUGAAGAAGGUUUUCGGAUCGUAAAGAUCUGUUGUAAGAGAAGAACGGGUGUGAGAGUGGAAAGUUCACACUGUGACGGUAUCUUACCAGAAAGGGACGGCUAACUACGUG